UACGUAGGGGGCAAGCGUUGUCCGGAUUUAUUGGGCGUAAAGCGCUCGUAGGCGGCUCGAUGCGUCGUGCGUGAAACACCCCGGCUCAACUGGGGAGGGUCGUGCGAUACGGUCGGGCUGGAGGCCAGUAGGGGGAUGCGGAAUUCCGGGUGUAGUGGUGGAAUGCGUAGAGAUCCGGAGGAACACCAGCGGCGAAGGCGGCAUCCUGGACUGGUCCUGACGCUCAGGAGCGAAAGCGUGGGGAGCGAUCCGG
rnacentral:rRNA from 1 species